GAUGAACGCUGGCGGCGUGCCUAAUACAUGCAAGUCGAGCGAACAGACGAGGAGCUUGCUCCUCUGACGUUAGCGGCGGACGGGUGAGUAACACGUGGAUAACCUACCUAUAAGACUGGGAUAACUUCGGGAAACCGGAGCUAAUACCGGAUAAUAUAUUGAACCGCAUGGUUCAAUAGUGAAAGACGGUUUUGCUGUCACUUAUAGAUGGAUCCGCGCCGCAUUAGCUAGUUGGUAAGGUAACGGCUUACCAAGGCAACGAUGCGUAGCCGACCUGAGAGGGUGAUCGGGCGAGCUAGAACUGAGACACGGUCCAGAGUCCGACAGGAGGCAGCAGUAGGGGAGCGUCCGCAGUGGGCGGAAGCCUGACGGAGCAACGCCGCGUGAGUGAUGAAGGUCUUCGGAUCGUAAAACUCUGUUAUUAGGGAAGAACAAAUGUGUAAGGAACUAUGCACGUCUUGACGGUACCUAAUCAGAAAGCCACGGCUAACUACGUG
rnacentral:rRNA from 1 species